rnacentral:misc_RNA from 1 species
UGGAAGUGAACUGGCCCGUGGUGAUGUGGAUGGGCGGUCUCAGUGCCUUCAUGCUGCUCAGCGUGAUGGGCGUGCUGGCCUACUUCAUGCUGGGCGGUUCGAUCUGAUCAUCGCGCGGGGAGCCUGUUGCCGCGGGCUUCCCGCCACCCAUAUUUGCAGGCGCCGUAGGAGGCAGCGAUCCUUCGCGAUCGCCGAUGCGACCGAGGGCAGGCAGUAAUGUCUGCCCUCGGUUUUUUGUUGCGCCACAGCCGCCUUCGGCAUUCGAUUCCCGCCCGUGAAU